rnacentral:piRNA from 1 species
UCAACUAGUUAACCAACAACUCAGGUCAGACC